AGGACGAACGCUGGCGGCGUGCUUAACACAUGCAAGUCGAACGGAAAGGCCCGCUUGCGGGUACUCGAGUGGCGAACGGGUGAGUAACACGUGGGCAACCUGCCCUCAGCUUCGGGAUAACACUUGGAAACAGGUGCUAAUACCGGAUAAUAACCUUUCAUCGCAUGGUGGUUGGUUCAAAGUUUUUCGGCUGAGGAUGGGCCCGCGGCCUAUCAGCUUGUUGGUGGGGUAAUGGCCUACCAAGGCGACGAC
rnacentral:rRNA from 1 species